GACCGCUCCGGUGGCCUAGUGGUUAUAGCGUCCGCCUCGGAUGCGGGAUGUUAUGGGUUCUAUCCUCGGUCGAGUCA